rnacentral:rRNA from 1 species
CGGGUGCACUGAUCCAGCCGGGCCUUUCCCUCUGUGGAACCCCAUGGCCUUCACUGGCUGUGGUGGGGAAACAGGACUUUUACUUUGAAAAAAUUAGAGUGCUCCAGGCAGGCCUAUGCUCGAAUACAUUAGCAUGGAAUAAUAGAAUAGGAUGUGUGGUUCUAUUUUGUUGGUUUCUAGGACCGCCGUAAUGAUUAAUAGGGACAGUCGGGGGCAUCAGUAUUCAAUUGUCAGAGGUGAAAUUCUUGGAUCUAUUGAAGACUAACUACUGCGAAAGCAUUUGCCAAGGAUGUUUUCAUUGAUAAGGAACGAAAGUUAGGGGAUCGAAGACGAUCAGAUACCGUCGUAGUCUUAACUAUAAACUAUGCCGACUAGGGAUCGGACGAUGUUAUUCUUUGACGCGUUCGGCACCUUUCGAGAAAUCAAAGUGCUUGGGCUCCAGGGGGAGUAUGGUCGCAAGGCUGAAACUUAAAGAAAUUGACGGAAGGGCACCACCAGGGGUGGAACCUGCGGCUUAAUUUGACUCAACACGGGGAAACUCACCAGGUCCAGACACAGUGAGGAUUGACAGAUUGAGAGCUCUUUCUUGAUUCUGUGGGUGGUGGUGCAUGGCCGUUCUUAGUUGGUGGAGUGAUUUGUCUGCUUAAUUGCGAUAACGAACGAGACCUUAACCUGCUAAAUAGCCCGUACUGCUUUGGCAGUUCGCCGGCUUCUUAGAGGGACUAUCGG